AUGAGUCAGUUUAUGUAUUUUCCUCUGAUCACUAUAGGCAGUGACAAACAGCUUCAGGUCAUUCACACUUUAAAGUGCAUUAUGUUCACUGAAGCUUUAGUGUUGCUUCUGGCAAGUGUAAGCUGUAUUAAUGCAGAUGAACUCUCUCAGCCUGAGUUUCUGACUGUUCGGCCUGGUGCCUCUUUGACUAUUGACUGUAAAGUCUCUUAUUCACUUACUAGCUAUCACACAGGCUGGAUCCGUCAGCCUGCAGGAAAACCUCUGGAGUGGAUUGGGGUGAUCUAUACUGGUGGAGGCGUAGACUACAAGGAUUCACUGAAAAACAAGUUCAGCAUUACCAGAGACACCUCCAGUAAUACAAUAACAUUGAAAGGAAAUAAUAUUCAAGCUCAAGACACAGCUGUGUAUUAUUGUGCGAGAUAUCACAGUGACACAAACUAA